rnacentral:rRNA from 1 species
AGGCAGCAGUGGGGAAUUUUGGACAAUGGGCGAAAGCCUGAUCCAGCAAUGCCGCGUGCAGGAAGAAGGCCUUCGGGUUGUAAACUGCUUUUGUACGGAACGAAAAGGUCUGCCCUAAUACGGCGGGCCCAUGACGGUACCGUAAGAAUAAGCACCGGCUAACUACGUGCCAGCAGCCGCGGUAAUACGUAGGGUGCGAGCGUUAAUCGGAAUUACUGGGCGUAAAGCGUGCGCAGGCGGUGAUGUAAGACAGUUGUGAAAUCCCCGGGCUCAACCUGGGAAUUGCAUCUGUGACUGCAUCGCUAGAGUACGGUAGAGGGGGAUGGAAUUCCGCGUGUAGCAGUGAAAUGCGUAGAUAUGCGGAGGAACACCGAUGGCGAAGGCAAUCCCCUGGACCUGUACUGACGCUCAUGCACGAAAGCGUGGGGAGCAAACAGGAUUAGAUACCCUGGUAG